rnacentral:rRNA from 1 species
GAUGAACGCAGGCGGCGUGCUUAACACAUGCAAGUCGAACGAAGCUGCUAAAAGGAAGUUUUCGGACGGAAUUUUAGUAGACUUAGUGGCGGACGGGUGAGUAACGCGUGGAUAACCUGCCUUAUACAGGGGGAUAACGGAGAGAAAUUUCCGCUAAGACCGCAUAAGACCACAGCACCGCAUGGUGCAGGGGUAAAAUAUUUAUAGGUAUAAGAUGGAUCCGCGUCCGAUUAGCUAGUUGGUGAGGUAGAGGCUCACCAAGGCGACGAUCGGUAGCCGGCCUGAGAGGGUGAACGGCCACAUUGGGACUGAGACACGGCCCAAACUCCUACGGGAGGCAGCAGUGGGGAAUAUUGGACAAUGGGGGAAACCCUGAUCCAGCGACGCCGCGUGAGUGAAGAAGUAUUUCGGUAUGUAAAGCUCUAUCAGCAGGGAAGAAAAUGACGGUACCUGACUAAGAAGCCCCGGCUAACUACGUGCCAGCAGCCGCGGUAAUACGUAGGGGGCAAGCGUUAUCCGGAUUUACUGGGUGUAAAGGGAGCGCAGACGGCGAAGCAAGUCUGAAGUGAAAUGCAUGGGCUCAACCCAUGAAUUGCUUUGGAAACUGUUUGGCUUGAGUGUCGGAGGGGUAAGCGGAAUUCCUAGUGUAGCGGUGAAAUGCGUAGAUAUUAGGAGGAACACCGGAGGCGAAGGCGGCUUACUGGACGACAACUGACGUUGAGGCUCGAAGGCGUGGGGAGCAAACAGG